AUUGAACGCUGGCGGCAGGCUUAACACAUGCAAGUCGAGCGGGGGAAGGUAGCUUGCUACUGGACCUAGCGGCGGACGGGUGAGUAAUGCUUAGGAAUCUGCCUAUUAGUGGGGGACAACAUCUCGAAAGGGAUGCUAAUACCGCAUACGUCCUACGGGAGAAAGCAGGGGAUCUUCGGACCUUGCGCUAAUAGAUGAGCCUAAGUCGGAUUAGCUAGGUGGUGGGGUAAAGGCCUACCAAGGCGACGAUCUGUAGCGGGUCUGAGAGGAUGAUCCGCCACACUGGGACUGAGACACGGCCCAGACUCCUACGGGAGGCAGCAGUGGGGAAUAUUGGACAAUGGGCGCAAGCCUGAUCCAGCCAUGCCGCGUGUGUGAAGAAGGCCUUAUGGUUGUAAAGCACUUUAAGCGAGGAGGAGGCUACUUUAGAUAAUACCUAGAGAUAGUGGACGUUACUCGCAGAAUAAGCACCGGCUAACUCUGUGCCAGCCGCCGCCGUAAAAC
rnacentral:rRNA from 1 species